UUCCCCAAGUGUUAAGAUUUAUAAAGGGGGAACUAUUUCUUACCUCCUUACCUAAAGGAGAGGCAAAAGCUCUGUGCAGAGACAACACGUCCAGAACAACCUGGAGACAACCAGUCUCAGAGGGAAGGCGGUUAGCAAUGAGGGAGGCCAGGAAACAUUUCCUGCCGAAAGUGAGACUUGGAGGAGGUCAGGAGGCAGAGUGAUGAAGGAAGACUGAGGAAGCUUUCAAAGCCAAAUGGAGCGUCAUCUUGGGGGUAAACGUUUACCACUGGGCUUUGGUGGGUAGAGGGAUGAUAUGUGCUGAAUAGCUGAGAGGAGGAAGGACUGGAGAGGAGAAAGAUCUGAAGAAGGAAGAGCAAGUGGAGACCCCAAAGUCAUCAUGGGAUGAGGAAGGCUUGUACCAAGGGUCUUCAGUCAUCUUGAUUUGCAUCUUGCCACGGGACCCAGAUGGGUCUGAAGGGGAAAGUGAGAUCAGCUCUGCCAGAAGGCUGGGGGAAUAGUCCGAAAAUAUUGUUAUGAUUCAAACAUCAACAGCCUCUCAUCUUUGCACUCCAAGUCAGUAAUUCUUCAAUUGUGGAGCACGUUAACUGAAUGAGGGAGGAGCUCAUAAAAAUGUGGUAACAGUAAAAGGUAGCAAAUAUCCUGACAAGAUUUAAUUCUUUGUGUAUAAAUAGACAAGCACAUCAAUCUCAUUUAUAUGUAAGUUUGCUUUCAUCUCUCACAACUGACUAAAUUAUGUGUAUACCAAAGAAUUGUU